GCCCUUGCCCGCCGGUCCGCCUCUUGGUGUGUACUGGUCUGGGCGGGGGCUUACCUCCUGGUGAGCCGGCAUGCUCUUCAUUGGGUGUGUCGGUGAACCCGGACUUUUACUUUGAAAAAAUUAGAGUGUUCAAAGCAGGCACAUGCCUGAAUACAUUAGCAUGGAAUAACAAAGUAGGAC
rnacentral:rRNA from 1 species